GAGUUUGAUCCUGGAUCACGAUGAACGCUAGCGGCGUGCCUAGUGCGUGCGAGUCCAACAGGAUCCUUUGGAUUCUUCUGAAGGUGAGAGUGGCGAACGGGUGAGUAACACGUUGGUGACCUGCCCCAGAGAGGGGGAUAACUAUUGGAAACGAUAGCUAAUACCCCAGAUGUCAUUGUUGUUAGAGAGUAAUGACUAAAUGCUCCGGCGCCCUGGGAGGGGCCUGCGGCCCAUCAGCUAGUUGGUAGGGUAAUGGCCUACCAAGGCAAAGAGGGGUAGGGGGCGUGAGAGCGUGACCCCCCACACUGGUACUGAUACACGGACCAAAUACCUACCGGUAGCACCAGCGAGGAAUAUUGCCCAAUGGACGCAAGUCUGAGGCAGCAACGCCGCGUGGAGGAUGAAGGCCUUCGGGUUGUAAACUCCUUUUCUGGGGGAAGAGAAAGGACGGUACCCCAGGAAUGAGUCUCGGCUAACUACAUGCCAGCGGCCGCGGUAAGACGUAUGAGGCGAGCGUUAUCCGGAUUUACUGGGCGUAUAGCGCGUGCAGGCGGUUUUCUAAGUCGGACGUGAAAGCUCCCGGCUCAACUGGGAGAGGUCGUUCGAAACUAGGAGACUUGAGGAUGGUAGAGGAGAGUGGAAUUCCCGGUGUAGUGGUGAAAUGCGUAUAUAUCGGGAGGAACACUAGUGGCGAAGGCGGCUCUCUGGGACAUUCCUGACGUCUAGACGCGAAAGCUAGGGGAGAGAACGGGAUUAGAAACCCCGGUACUCCUAGCCGUAAACGGUGUCACCUAGGUGUAGGGGGUAUCCAACCCCUCUGUGCUGUAGCAAACGCGUUAAGUUGACCGCUUGGGGACUACGUCCGCAAGGCUAAAACUCAAAGGAACUGACGGGGACCCGCACAAGCAGCGGAGCGUGUGGUUUAAUUCGAGGAUACGCGAAGAACCUUACCAGGGUUUGACAUGGCGGUGGUAGGAAAGUGAAAGCUAACCGACCCUUCGGGGAGCCGUCACAGGUGCUGCAUGGCUGUCGUCAGCUCGUGCCGUGAGGCGUUAGGUUAAGUCCUGUAACGAGCGCAACCCUCGUCGCUAGUUAUACGUGUCUAGCGAGACUUCCGGUGAUAAGCCGGACGAAGGUGGGGAUGACGUCAAGUCAGCAUGGCCUUUAUAUCCUGGGCUACACACACGCUACAAUGGCCGGUACAGUGGGUUGCCAAGCCGCGAGGCGGAGCCAAUCCCCACAAAGCCGGUCUCAAUUCGGAUUGUAGGCUGCAACUCGCUUGCAUGAAGUCGGAGUUGCUAGUAACCGCGCGUCAGCAACAGCGCGGUGAAUACGUUCCCGGGUCUUGUACACACCGCCCGUCAUGUCAUGGAAGUUGGCAACGCCUGAAGUCGGUGAGCUAACCCUAACGGGAGGCAACCUGCCCAAGGCGGGGUCGGUAACUGGGAUGAAGUCGUAACAAGGUAUCC
rnacentral:rRNA from 1 species